rnacentral:rRNA from 1 species
AACGUAGGACUCAAACGUUAUCCGGAAUUACUGGGCGUAAAGAGCGUGUAGGCGGUAGAUUAAGUCAGGCGUGAAAGCUCCCGGCUAAACUGGGAGAGGGCGGCUGAUACUGGUCUACUAGAGGGCGUUAGAGGGAUGCGGAAUUCCGGGUGUAGUGGUGAAAUGCGUAGAGAUCCGGAGGAACACCAGAGGCGAAGGCGGCAUCCUGGGACGCACCUGACGCUGAGAAGCGAAAGCAUGGGUAGCGAACGGG